UGUGGACCUCAUAUAUUCUAUUGUGCCCAC
rnacentral:piRNA from 1 species